rnacentral:rRNA from 1 species
CCUACGGGGAGGCAGCAGUAGGGAAUCUUCCACAAUGGACGCAAGUCUGAUGGAGCAACGCCGCGUGAGUGAAGAAGGGUUUCGGCUCGUAAAGCUCUGUUGUUAAAGAAGAACGUGGGUAAGAGUAACUGUUUACCCAGUGACGGUAUUUAACCAGAAAGCCACGGCUAACUACGUGCCAGCAGCCGCGGUAAUACGUAGGUGGCAAGCGUUAUCCGGAUUUAUUGGGCGUAAAGCGAGCGCAGGCGGUCUUUUAAGUCUAAUGUGAAAGCCUUCGGCUCAACCGAAGAAGUGCAUUGGAAACUGGGAGACUUGAGUGCAGAAGAGGACAGUGGAACUCCAUGUGUAGCGGUGAAAUGCGUAGAUAUAUGGAAGAACACCAGUGGCGAAGGCGGCUGUCUGGUCUGCAACUGACGCUGAGGCUCGAAAGCAUGGGUAGCGAACAGGAUUAGAUACCCUGGUAGUCCAUGCCGUAAACGAUGAUUACUAAGUGUUGGAGGGUUUCCGCCCUUCAGUGCUGCAGCUAACGCAUUAAGUAAUCCGCCUGGGGAGUACGACCGCAAGGUUGAAACUCAAAGAAAUUUGACG